AUUGAACGCUGGCGGCAUGCCUUACACAUGCAAGUCGAACGGCAGCACGGGUGCUUGCACCUGGUGGCGAGUGGCGAACGGGUGAGUAAUACAUCGGAACAUGUCCUGUAGUGGGGGAUAGCCCGGCGAAAGCCGGAUUAAUACCGCAUACGAUCUACGGAUGAAAGCGGGGGACCUUCGGGCCUCGCGCUAUAGGGUUGGCCGAUGGCUGAUUAGCUAGUUGGUGGGGUAAAGGCCUACCAAGGCGACGAUCAGUAGCUGGUCUGAGAGGACGACCAGCCACACUGGGACUGAGACACGGCCCAGACUCCUACGGGAGGCAGCAGUGGGGAAUUUUGGACAAUGGGCGAAAGCCUGAUCCAGCAAUGCCGCGUGUGUGAAGAAGGCCUUCGGGUUGUAAAGCACUUUUGUCCCGAAAGAAAUCCUUGGCCCUAAUACGGUCGGGGGAUGACGGUACCGGAAGAAUAAGCACCGGCUAACUACGUG
rnacentral:rRNA from 1 species